rnacentral:miRNA from 1 species
UAUUAUGCUAGUGUUCGUGGGU